rnacentral:rRNA from 1 species
UACAGAGGUCCCAAGCGUUGUUCGGAUUCACUGGGCGUAAAGGGUGCGUAGGCGGGCAGGUAAGUCAGUGGUGAAAUCUCCGGGCUUAACCCGGAAACUGCCGUUGAUACUAUCUGUCUUGAAUAUCGUGGAGGUAAGCGGAAUAAUGUCAUGUAGCGGUGAAAUGCUUAGAUAUGACAUAGAACACCCAUUGCGAAGGCAGCUUACUACACGAUCAUUGACGCUGAGGCACGAAAGCGUGGGGAGCAAACAGG